rnacentral:rRNA from 1 species
UACGUAGGGUGCAAGCGUUAAUCGGAAUUACUGGGCGUAAAGCGUGCGCAGGCGGUUCGUGAUGUCUGGUGUGAAAGCCCCGGGCUUAACCUGGGAAUUGCAUUGGAAACUAGCGGGCUGGAGUGUGGCAGAGGGGGGUGGAAUUCCACGUGUAGCAGUGAAAUGCGUAGAGAUGUGGAGGAACACCGAUGGCGAAGGCAGCCCCCUGGGCUAACACUGACGCUCAUGCACGAAAGCGUGGGGAGCAAACAGG